GGGAUUUUAGUAAAAUGCAGAUUCUGAUUCAGCAGGUCUGGGCCGAGGCCUCAGAUUCUGCAUUUCUGACAAGUUC
rnacentral:miRNA from 1 species